UCGGGUUAGUGGCGGACGGGUGAGUAACGCGUGAGAAUCUGCCCUCAGGAGGGGGACAACAGCUGGAAACGGCUGCUAAUACCCCAUAUGCCGCGAGGUGAAAUGAAUUUCGCCUGAGGAUGAGCUCGCGUCUGAUUAGCUAGUCGGUAAGGUAAUGGCUCACCAAGGCAUCGAUCAGUAGCUGGUCUGAGAGGAUGAUCAGCCACACUGGGACUGAGACACGGCCCAGACUCCUACGGGAGGCAGCAGUGGGGAAUUUUCCGCAAUGGGCGAAAGCCUGACGGAGCAACGCCGCGUGAAGGAUGAAGGCCUCUGGGCUGUAAACCUCUUUUAUCAAGGAAGAAGAUCUGACGGUACUUGAUGAAUAAGCCACGGCUAAUUCCGUGCCAGCAGCCGCGGUAAUACGGGAGUGGCAAGCGUUAUCCGGAAUUAUUGGGCGUAAAGCGUCCGCAGGCGGUCCAGAAAGUCUGCUGUUAAAAAGUGGAGCUUAACUCCAUCAUGGCAGUGGAAACUUCUGGACUAGAGUGUGGUAGGGGCAGAGGGAAUUCCCGGUGUAGCGGUGAAAUGCGUAGAUAUCGGGAAGAACACCAGUGGCGAAGGCGCUCUGCUGGGCCAUCACUGACGCUCAUGGACGAAAGCCAGGGGAGCAAAAGGGAUUAGAUACCCCUGUAGUCCUGGCCGUAAACGGUGAACACUAGGUGUCGGGGGAAUCGACCCCCUCGGUGUCGUAGCCAACGCGUUAAGUGUUCCGCCUGGGGAGUACGCACGCAAGUGUGAAACUCAAAGGAAUUGACGGGGGCCCGCACAAGCGGUGGAGUAUGUGGUUUAAUUCGAUGCAACGCGAAGAACCUUACCAGGGUUUGACAUCCUGCGAAUCUCUUGGAAACAGGAGAGUGCCUUCGGGAACGCAGUGACAGGUGGUGCACGGCUGUCGUCAGCUCGUGUCGUGAGAUGUUGGGUUAAGUCCCGCAACGAGCGCAACCCACGUCUUUAGUUGCCA
rnacentral:rRNA from 1 species